UUUUUAUCUAGACAUAGGAUAGGUUGUGUGAAAAUAUUACUGAUGUUUAACGUUAAAAAUGGACCAAAAGAUUAAUGCUAAACAACAUUUGACAUGUUUGAACGAACAUAAAUAGAUUAUUUACUAGGUUUUUUUAGCUUUUCGGCGUGAUUUUACCAGCCCCACACCACGUUUUGUGGGAGCAUAAUGAACGCUAAGUACUUGGUGUUAUUUGGACAUAAAUUAUGAACUUUGUCAAAAGAAACCACAUUUGUUCCGGACCUGGAAUGCCUUCCGGACCUGGGAUCCUGCCUUCUGAUGGAGAUAAUCAAAGAUGCUCAAUCGAGAGCAUCCUGUCGGGCUGUAUCACCGUCUGGUACAGCAACUGCACCGCCCUCAACCGCAAGGCUCUCCAGUGGGUAGUGCGGUCUGCACAACGCAUCACCGAGG
rnacentral:lncRNA from 1 species